UGUGUGUCAGGACAGUAUCAGCGCGAGCGGUAUUUAAUGUAAAAGACAUGUAUAUUAUACAGAUUUAGAUGUUGUGUGUAUCUUAUGGAUAAAAUCAGCAAUGAGUUUUUUAGGUCUUUAGUUCUGAGAUUUUGAUCAGCUGUGAACAAUGGGGUGUAUUUAAUUGUGCACCAAAUGUAUUUAGUGUUUCAGACUCAUAGUUUUGUUCAAAGCUAAAACUAAUUGAAUUAAACCUGAUAAAGAUUCUUCACUCAAAAUACACAUGAUUCCUUUUUUUUAUGAAUUUUGUCAGUAAAUACAUCAUACAUCCACUUUUCAUCUACAACUGCAGAUGUUUUUUAGAAGAUAUCACUUAUGCACACUUACCAGCACAAAAACAGCUUCAGAAGAUGGUGUUAUCUGCUACCAAGAUGUUCACAGCAGAUCCUGUAUGUUCUGUAAUGUACACCAGGACCUGAAGUUUCCUAGUAGAACAUCACUCAGAGCAUCACACAAGAUCUGCUGGCUCCCAAGUCAGAUGCAAGACCUUUUCAUGCUCAGGGUUGUGCAGUAUAAUCACCUCACACUAGAGGGUGCUGUGGGGAUUUCAGUCACUCAGGUGAUGAAAGAUGGAGCUCCAGCAGGUCAGGUGGUAAAG